UACGGAGGGUGCAAACGUUGCUCGGAAUCAUUGGGCGUAAAGCGCACGUAGGCGGUCGGCUAUGUCGGAUGUGAAAGCCUCGGGCUUAACCCGAGAGGGGCAUCCGAAACUGGCCGGCUUGAGUACGGAAGAGGGUCUCGGAAUUCCCGGUGUAGAGGUGAAAUUCGUAGAUAUCGGGAGGAACACCAGUGGCGAAGGCGGAGACCUGGGCCGAUACUGACGCUGAGGUGCGAAAGCGUGGGGAGCAAACAGG
rnacentral:rRNA from 1 species